AAGCAUUCUGAUUUUUAGCCAGUUUAGGCACUAUGGCUAUGUAACACACUAAGCCUUGCACUUAAAUGAGAGGUUGUCCUUCACAGCUGGCAUUGUGGAAGAAAUGCUUCCAUUUCUCCAGGAGCUACUGAAAUGCCUCUUUGAGGGUGGUUCUUGGUCAGUUCACAGUCUUAUAGCUCAGCCUCAUUGCUGAGGCAGGAGGCUAGGGAUAACAAGAUGUUGGAAUAUAUCAAGAUGUCAGCGGGGAUCACAGAAACAGGUACCUGCUUAAAUCACCAUUACCAUAAGAACUGCCCUGGCUCCAUAGGACCACCCACAUCACCAUAGAAACAGCCAUAGCAACAAGUUCUGUAGAGGGCUUAUCACCAUAACAAAUCCUGCCUAAAGUUCUGUAUUCCAAUUAGGUGAAAAUAAAAUAGCCAACCAGAAAAAAUGGGGCAGGGUUUCUAGUCAGGUCUGUGGGAAGAGGAUAUAGG
rnacentral:lncRNA from 1 species